rnacentral:rRNA from 1 species
UUACCUACGGGACGCAGCAGUGGGGAAUAUUGCACAAUGGGGGAAACCCUGAUGCAGCGACGCCGCGUGAAGGAUGAAGUAUUUCGGUAUGUAAACUUCUAUCAGCAGGGAAGAAAAUGACGGUACCUGACUAAGAAGCCCCGGCUAACUACGUGCCAGCAGCCGCGGUAAUACGUAGGGGGCAAGCGUUAUCCGGAUUUACUGGGUGUAAAGGGGGCGCAGACGGCAGCGCAAGCCAGGAGUGAAAGCCCGGGGCCCAACCCCGGGACUGCUCUUGGAACUGCGCGGCUGGAGUGCAGGAGGGG